rnacentral:rRNA from 1 species
UACAGAGACUGCGAGCGUUAUUCGGAUUCACUGGGCGUAAAGGGUGCGCAGGUGGCCAGGUGUGUGAGGCGUGAAAGCCCGGGGCUUAACCCCGGAAUUGCACCUCAAACUACUUGGCUAGAGCAUUGGAGAGGGGAGCAGAAUUCAUGGUGUAGCAGUGAAAUGCGUAGAGAUGCGGCGGAACACCGAUGGCGAAGGCAGCCCCCUGGGCUGAGAUUGACGCUCAGGCACGAAAGCGUGGGGAGCGAACAGG